UACGAAGGGUGCAAACGUUGCUCGGAAUUAUUGGGCGUAAAGCGCACGUAGGCGGCAUUGCAAGUCGAUGUGAAAUCCCUCGGCUUAACCAAGGAAGUGCAUCCGAAACUGCUGUGCUUGAGUACUUAAGAGGAUCGCGGAAUUCCCGGUGUAGAGGUGAAAUUCGUAGAUAUCGGGAGGAACACCAGUGGCGAAGGCGGCGAUCUGGGGAAGAUACUGACGCUGAGGUGCGAAAGCGUGGGGAGCAAACAGG
rnacentral:rRNA from 1 species